rnacentral:rRNA from 1 species
GACGAACGCUGGCGGCGUGCUUAACACAUGCAAGUCGAACGGUAAGGCUCCAGCUUGCUGGGGUACACGAGUGGCGAACGGGUGAGUAACACGUGGGUGACCUGCCCUGCACUUCGGGAUAAGCCUGGGAAACUGGGUCUAAUACCGGAUAGGACCAUGGUGUGGAUACUGUGGUGGAAAGUUUUUUCGGUGUGGGAUGGGCCCGCGGCCUAUCAGCUUGUUGGUGGGGUAAUGGCCUACCAAGGCGGCGACGGGUAGCCGGCCUGAGAGGGUGGACGGCCACAUGGGGACUGAGACACGGCGCAGACUCCUACGGGAGGCAGCAGUGGGGAAUAUUGCGCAAUGGGCGGAAGCCUGAUGCAGCGACGCCGCGUGGGGGAUGACGGCCUUCGGGUUGUAAACUCCUUUCACCAUCGACGAAGGGUUUCUGACGGUAGAUGGAGAAGAAGCACCGGCUAACUACGUG